rnacentral:rRNA from 1 species
GAUGAACGCUAGCGGGAGGCCUAACACAUGCAAGCCGAGCGGUAUUGUUUCUUCGGAAAUGAGAGAGCGGCGUACGGGUGCGUAACACGUGUGCAACCUGCCUUUAUCUGGGGGAUAGCCUUUCGAAAGGAAGAUUAAUACUCCAUAAUAUAUUGAACGGCAUCGUUUAAUAUUGAAAGCUCCGGCGGAUAGAGAUGGGCACGCGCAAGAUUAGCUAGUUGGUGAGGUAACGGCUCACCAAGGCGAUGAUCUUUAGGGGGCCUGAGAGGGUGAUCCCCCACACUGGUACUGAGACACGGACCAGACUCCUACGGGAGGCAGCAGUGAGGAAUAUUGGUCAAUGGGUGCAAGCCUGAACCAGCCAUCCCGCGUGAAGGACGACUGCCCUAGGGGUUGUAAACUUCUUUUGUAUAGGGAUAAACCUACCCUCGAGAGGGUAGCUGAAGGUACUAGACGAAUAAGCACCGGCUAACUCCGUG